rnacentral:pre_miRNA from 1 species
GGCCUCUCUCUGUGGAGCCAUCCAUCAUGAGGCUCCAUGAUGGAUGACUCUGCAGAGGGAGGCC